GGGCCCUCUUAUUUGUUGGUUUCCACCUGCUGGUAGUAGCACAUAACAAAGGAGAAAGUCUAGAGAAGAGAAGAAGAAGAAGAUCAAGAAAAGAGAUCAAGUGUUGAUCGCGAUCCAGGCUUCGUUCAGAUUCAGCAGGCUGAAUUUUCUUAGAAAAAAAAAUUUAAUUUCUAGAGGGCUAUUCUAAACUGAUCCCAAGUGGAUAUCCAUAAAGAUCGGAUACUUGUAUGGCUAGAAAUUUUUUUUUCUCUUUUAGAUCCAGAUUCAAAGAAAAAGAUUAUGAAAUAGGUAUGUGAAUUAAUCACAAUCUGAAUUUCAGCAUAUGUUAAUUUCAGC
rnacentral:lncRNA from 1 species